CCUACGGGAGGCAGCAGUGGGGAAUAUUGCACAAUGGGCGCAAGCCUGAUGCAGCCAUGCCGCGUGUGUGAAGAAGGCCUUCGGGUUGUAAAGCACUUUCAGCGGGGAGGAAGGCGGUGAGGUUAAUACCCUUACUCAUUGACGUUACCCGCAGAAGAAGCACCGGCUAACUCCGUGCCAGCAGCCGCGGUAAUACGGAGGGUGCAAGCGUUAAUCGGAAUUACUGGGCGUAAAGCGCACGCAGGCGGUUUGUUAAGUCAGAUGUGAAAUCCCCGGGCUCAACCUGGGAACUGCAUCUGAAACUGGCAGGCUUGAGUCUCGUAGAGGGGGGUAGAAUUCCAGGUGUAGCGGUGAAAUGCGUAGAGAUCUGGAGGAAUACCGGUGGCGAAGGCGGCCCCCUGGACGAAGACUGACGCUCAGGUGCGAAAGCGUGGGGAGCAAACAGGAUUAGAUACCCGGGUAGUC
rnacentral:rRNA from 1 species